AAGCCCCUUUACCCAGGUAAGUGAAGGUGAGAAUGCCUUUGCACUGAAACUUCAUCUUUUGUGAGCAACUCUAAUCACAUGUAAUUAUAUUUUAUGUAUGGUGUAUUUGUUGCUUAUUUUUCAAAAUACUUUGCCUUUCAGCCUACUUGGAUCUCUCUAUUUUUGGUCCUUUGGGAGAAGAAAUAUUUCUGCUUUCUAAUUUACCACUCCUGUAUGUAAACUAUCAUACUCAUUCACAACAAGGUCUAUGGCUUUUACCAUUAUGGUUAGAGCUAACCUUCUUUUCAGCAACGUAGGCAAAUAGUUCAAAUGAAUCUUGACUUACAGUUACUUCUGCUUAGGCAGUAUAGAAAAUUAUUCAGAUGACUCCAACCAAACUAACUUGGUAUUGCAAUUAAUUCAGCAUCUUGGUAUGGGCAUUUGGAUGUAUUAUUAAGAAUUUCAGAUACUCAGUAUGUUUUCUGCAAGAUAGCCUUUCUAAAGAAGGAAGCAGCUGGAAGGCGAUGCUUUAAAGGGGCUAUGGGCACAAAAAUGCUUUUUCACUUAGUUGGCUCCAUCUGUUUGACAAGUUAUGAACAGAUGCUCCAUAUCCAUCCAAAUGCAUUUUACCAGUGACCAGAAAAGUCAAUUUUUCAGCAGACAAAACAUCAGCAUCCACAAGUGGAGACCAACCACUUUCAGAACCGUUCCCCUUUGAACUGGAACAGUUUGUACAGAAACAGAUGUAAUGUACAACAGGCAGAAAUAUGGGCCAUUAAAAUAAAUGGAUGUUAUUUUUCUUUAAUCUGAAGAAGGAGUUAGAAAGAAAAGUACACAGAAGUGAGAAAGAAACAGAAAAGAAUCAGAAAGCACCUUCAGGAGAAAAGGGGCCAAGCCAUUUGCUGCUGAGCUGCACAGCAGAAUGGGGUUGUGCCCAUCAGCUGCCCUCGCUUUGUGGCCCAGCUUUUGGGCUUAACUUUCCUCACUUUGCAUCUGUGUUAAACAGUCCCUGUCAGGUCCUCUCUCUCUACUCCUAAAAACAAAUGAAGAAAGGAGAAUGACGGUGUCAAAUUGAUUAUAAAUUCAGAGUGCGUGUCUCCGUCAACACCUCCACCUUACGUGCCUUUUCUUAAAGCAAAAAUGAGCCCUCGCUUCUCUCUAUUUCCCCCGCAAACAACUCUACAGUUAAGCAAUUUCUUUUCCAAACCACGUGCACACCCAUAGAAAAAAGAAAUCUGUCGGUUCACCAGCCUUCUUCUGAACUGGAGGUCCUCUGUUUUGACAAAAUCCUACAAUCUCUGUGAAGUUUAUGAGUGCCUGAGUUCUUAACUUUCUGUCCUUGGUUAAAGUGCACUUGUGUGGCUCAGCUCUCUUGGCCACACAGCACACAGGCUGCUCAACCCGCUCUGGCUGGAGGCAGCCAUGCCACCACCAUCCAGGUGCUCCAGGCCUGCUCUGCACCCACAGACACCAGCUUCACACCAACACGGUGAGCUGGCUCUCUGUGUGAAGCAUGGUCAGCACAGCUGAGAGGUCCCAGAGGAAGGUGACGGUGGCCACUGCAUCCCUGCCUGACCACCUCACAUGAAAUGCCCAUGUCAGAUGGCCCCAGGCUGUGUGGGCCCUUUGGGUGAGCUGCCUGUGCCCCCGGACCUUACACACCAAGCAUUCCUGAACUGUAUCCUCACAGCUGUCCAGAUUCGUGUCAUCUAAUGGUGAUGGGUGCUACUCCAAAGAGAUCACAAUGAUAAAAAUCUUGUGUCUCAAUGCUCUGGGCUGGAUGAGGUGCAAACUUCCCAUCAUAUGGAGUCACAGUGGUGUCAUGACAGUCUGACACCAGAGAGCCACCCUAUGUUAACCACUCCAUUAGAUGCCAGGUGUUAACAACUACCAAACAUUUAGACUCCAAAGACAGGUAAGUCCUAUUUUCAGGAUCCAGACAACCUGAGCUCAUGGGUAUUAAACAACAGCAAUGAUUUUUUAUCAUUAUUAUGCUCUAACAGUGAAAAAAUAACGCUGUUAAAUCCAGUGAGAUUACAACUACAGUCUCUUGCCUGGAAUUCCUGCUAUGACAAAGAAACCCUGCAUGUGUCUCAGAGACACUACAAAAUACUGUUCAAGGUUAAGAAUACAAAGGUAUAGUGAAACAAAGACAGCAGCAAUUUAAGAAAGAUAUCCCUUAGACCUCAAAAAGUUAGGAAAGUGGUCGAAAAAAUUGCUGAAGUCCAAUUCAGUAGAUGCUGCCUUUUCCAGCACUGAAUCAGAUCCUCCACAAAGAGGACCCAUACACAAGGAGGCAGCCCUCAGAGAGGGAAGAUUUAUGAGAGCAGCCUCUCAGAGCCAUCAUGAUCCUGGCAGGAACAGGCAGGGAAUGCUGCAGUCAUGACUCAGGCUGCAAAGGUGCUGCUUCGUUGUGUUGAAAGAGGCUUGAGUCCCAGCUGCACAGCAUCACCAGGCAGAGUAUUAUGAAGUGUCUUCAUGUUUAUUGCUCAGCCCCACCUUGCAGCAUUACCUUUUAUUUGGAAAAAAUGGAUUAUCAAGAGAACCCAUUCUCUGAUGGGUUUUUUAGAAAUUUCAGAGGGGAAGAGGAGAGACCAAAGAUGGUCAUAGAGCAGGUAUGGAUUAGGCAAACUCCUAAUACUUCCCAAUGUUAGUAGAACAGAAAAUCCUCCUGUUGAAGUAAAGCAGGAUUUGAAGGGACUCAUGGACAGAAUGAGACGUAUCUGGCUUAACAGAGGGCAAUCCCUGGACUUCAAAUGAAAUUUUAUUUAGUCACUCUUACAGUGUUAAUAUCUUUCAAUGCAAAUUUCAGUUUGGAGAUUUUCCCAGUUCUGUCUCUGUGAACGAUGAGCCAAAUUAUUCACAUUUUCAGGCUACUGCAGUAACUGGAAUCCUACAGACUAUCAAACCAUGCAAUUAUUCAUGAUACGUGUUGCUCUAGCCCUAUGUGGCCUGGACCAGUGUCCAAACUCAGAGCUAAAGAGGCAGUCUGUCACUCACUCCCAGUACCACUUGAAACUGAAAAAAAAAUUUUUUUAAAAACUUAACUUCUAUUCUAUUGUAUUUUGAAAGCCAAAAAGAAAGUGAGUUAAAAAAAAAAAAAAGGCAAUGUUAAAGCUAUGACCAGUAGAGAUGGAACUUUGAUCAGUGGUUUGCAACAGCUUUCUGUGGUUAUUGCAUGUGUAGCCACAGCAGACCUAUCACCGGCUGAGGUUUCUAGUGGUCAAAGGCAAAAUACAACAAACUACAAGAGUUUUCACAUGGGGGCUGCACAUAAAAUUACUGGUGCUUGGUAGCAGCCACGUGAAAGUUUAGGUUCUUUAAUAAAACAUUUGCCAUUAAACUGAAAUAGCAUUCAGUCAAGCUGCAAAACUCAUAUCUUAUUUGUUAUAUUUUUAAAAUAUUUUAUUAUAAAGCUUGUGAAGCUUCAGAAAUACAACGUCAGUUUGUUUAUCUUGCAUACCCAGUUGCCGUAUUCACAAUGCUGAUACUGUAAGGUUCAUAGAGAAUUAAAUUAUAGAAUUAAAAUGUGGUUCCUUCAGACUCCAGAAAACCCAGCAUAUUGUGUAAUAUUUAUAUUAUCCUAUUAUCAUAUCUUAUUUGAUAUGGGGAAAAACAUUCAGAUUAAGUUUUAGUCCACACAGCAGUAUGGAGCAGCACCAGAGAAAUAAUUUAAUAAUACCUGAUUCACAAAAGUCAGACUGAUUAAUAGUUUUUACCUGAUUUCUUAGUUACCUGCCUCUUUUUCCCCUCUUCUUCUGCUCACUAUUUUACACUCUGAAAAGUGAGGUAUGCGUCCUUUCUGAAAGGUAAAAGCUGUCUUCUGCCCACAACCAAGUGUGUUGAGUACUUCAAGACAGCCAGAAGGCUGAAAAUCACAAAGGGCACAAAUCAGUAUAUUCAAAAACACUUUGGUAUCAUUCUUUUUUCUGAACCAGCUUACUGGUAAUUGACGUAACCGGAAACUAAGAAAUCUGCUGAUAAGGAAUUUAGUCAAAUUUGCUUAAAAAAAAAAAAAAAAAAAAUCUGAGUUCUUGCUGUAACACAGCUGUCAGUCAUGGAUUUUUAUGUCCUAUUUCCAAGGCUCUCUGCAUAAACUCUGGAGCCUGCACUCUCCAGAGGUUAGGCAGUAUAUAGAGCACGAUGAGACCUCUCAGCUUGGCUUGAAGUUUUUAAUUCUGAGAUUCAAACUCAUUUAAUGAAGAUGAAAUACACAUCAAAUCUUUUAAUAAGCCUUCAGAACAUACAACAUGAUCACAGCCUGCAAAGCUGGUUGGUCAGUGACCUAGCUAAGCAACGGACAAAUUUGAUGUUGAUUUAAUUCUGCAAACACCACCCGCAAUAAUUUGACAUGGAAAGAUUUACAGCCUUGAAAAAGUCAUUAGAAAGGCUGCUCUGCAGUCGGUAAAGACUGAAGGCUCCACUGACGCUGAGGUUUGAAUAAGGGGUGAAUUCCCACCCAACUGGAUGGCAGCGUUAGAGUUAUGUUGGCCUAUUUCUGUGUAAGCAGAGCACCCGAGUUAACUCCAACCACAUCAAUGUAGUUCUACUGAUAAAGAGCAGGCCCUAAAAUUUCCUAUAAAGCAACUGCUUCCAGGUAAUACCAGAGAUGUGGCAGCAAAAUUUACAUAGCAGUUACUUAGCAUCAUGCAUUAAGCAGACCAGUACUGUAUUUCAUAACACAUCCAAUCUGUUGCUGUAACAACUGUUUUUAUGAAGUAAGAAAUCUUUUUAUGAACAAUCUUAACCUUAGUGGAAAAAGGUUAAUUUCCUCUUAACACUAGGCUCUUUGCAAUGGAUUUAUAUCAGUUAGCACUCUUACUUCAUGUUUGCUCCAUGCAGAGGAAUGGGGUGGGGGAAGUUUUUCCUUUUCUAUUAAAUAAAAAAUAUGCAGAGGGAGGUUGAAUAUCACACAUCUGGCACAGUGCAGGAAAAGAAAUGCAACAUGACUGUGGUAAAAACAAAGGAUAAUACAGAGGGUGUAAGAGAUGUUUCAUGGAAAAGGCACAUUAAAAGUCUGAAUGGUCUUCUUGAGUACUCUUUGAAUCACAGUUUUGAGUAUCAAUAUGGGUGAAAUUAAAAGGGGGUUCAUUUGAAGCAUGAAGAGGCUUUAUACAUGUACUGGUUCAUUGGCUCUUUUACAGAAAAAUCUAAUCAUAUACUUGAAUAUAAAAAUAAUACCCCAAUUGGACUGAUUAUUUUGUUUCUACAGAACAUCCAACAUUACAACAGUUAUCAAAAUCAUUAUGAGACAGAAACACUUCAAGGGAUACAGAUUGUCUUCCUUGUGACUAUGGCAACAUAUGCUGUAGGGUAGUAUUCACACAGUCUUCUUUAGGCAUCUAAAUUUGGGUGUCUAUGCUAUAAACCUAGUUUCCUUGUGAAACUGGUUUAAAAAUGCAGACCUCUACUUUGAUUUCUUCUGCAAAAGUACCUUUUAACUGACUACCUUCACAAGAAACAUAUUUUCCUAGUUAAGCUCCUAAACUCAGCUACACAAUAAAGUAUGAAUACCCUUUCCUGACUGAUUUUGCUUUGUCUGGCAUUCCUAUUUGAUUCAGUUAUUGCACUUAUUUUACUCCCUGUAAUUGAUUAUCAAGGUAUACAUAGCAGAAACACAAGCCUUUAAAGUUUUAGGAAGAUCCACUCUAGUCAUUUCAACAUUCUUAUCCAAAUUAACAGUACUGUGCACAUCAGUUCAUCUCUCCUCACUUUGACAGCCCACCCCACAAUAUGUUGAGUGCCCUAAACCCCUACUGUAGUCAAUUCUGCAACAAGCAAAAUUGCUGUGGACAUGCUCCUGCUACUGCUGUAAACACUGCUAAUGGCAGUAACCCCUUUUCUCUUUGCUAACAAUCCUAUUUGGCUAACUUCUUUGUUAAAAGCCUAUGGUAAAAAUCCUUAAAUGCCUAACUAUGAACUGACUUUCAUGAAUGAAUAUGUUCACUAUAAUGAUUUUUCUGAGACCUGGAACACCUCCAUCUGCCACCAGCUCCCAGCCCACUCUGCCAUCUAGCAUUACAGGAGUGCAGGGACUGCUCCUUCUCAUAUUCUUUCCCUUCUUGCUCUUAACCACCAUAAAGACAAUGAGGAACUGAGAGCAGCUGUUAAUAAGAACAAAUAUUCUUUAUCCCAGUAAUUACUGCUGCCUUCUUUCAACAGCAGCAUAACAAGACCAGGGAAUACCCACACCCCCACCUUUCUCCACCUCUAUCACUGAAGCUGGUCCUCCUGUAGUCAGCGCUGUUCACAAAGGAUCAAACUGUUUUUGGGAACGGGAAGAAAAUAAUACUCAAGAUCACAGAACUUUGCUGAACAUACCUCUUCCUGCAGUCCUAAUUUUUUUUGUUUGAAUCUUUCUCCUUGGCAACAGAGAUAGGGUUGCAGAUGGUGAACACACUUGAUAACACAUCUUUCAUCAUUCACGUUUAACCAGCAUAUUGCCACGUCUUUAAGAGUCAAGAGAUACAUUACUUUCCUAAUGUCAGUAACAAUGUUUGCCAUUCAUUUUAUUCAGAAGCAAUUGCAACUGAUGAAGAAGAUACAGAAACCUACAGAUAAGGCUUACAUGAAAGGCCUUAUCUUUUAGUCAAGGCCCAAGUUCCUUUGAUGGUAUAAUAGAAUAUUUUUUGGUAAUCUGCACUUUAGUUCCGUCAACCCAAAGGAUAAAGUAUAAGCCUCGUUCUUUUACUUGAGACUAGCAAUAAUAAAGGUCAUGCAGAACAAAGCUUGUAUAUUUUUACAGGAAUGCUCAAUGCUUGGACUAUCCUCUUCUGCUUCCCUGUCACAAAGGUUAAUGCCCCUCAUUAAUCUAUAUACGCAUUUAUGUGUGUUCAUCAUCAUGGUACCUGAACAUAGUAUUAAAUCAAAAACAUAAAUAGUGCAGCUUCCUGUGGUGUAGCUAACCCAUGCCUGACUUGGUGAGAAAAGCCACUGAGUUAAAGCCAUGUUCCGCUUAUGUCUACGAGCUAUUUUGCUCAGCUACGUUUGUUAUUUUACUGUCUGCAUUACAGCAUUCCCUGUGCAAACUUGCUUAGUGUCAUACAACCUCACAUCGUACAUCAACUUGUAGGUUCCACCUCACCUCAUAAAGUUCUCAUUUUCACAUCAAAUUUUGCAACAGAGUGCUACAAACAUACCACAUCCCAGCCUGAGUUUCUCUCAUUCAGAGACUCCUGCACAAAAGGAGGAUUUGGUGCAUCGCACGUGCAAGGUAUGCAAUCACACCUACCUUUCUAUUUUCACUCUCUACAGAGUGUCAGCUUCCCAGCUUCUCCCCUUCCUUUGCCUUCUAAUGCAGUGCCAAAGCCUACACAAUAUCAAGGGGAAAGAGACCAUUUUUCCACUCACCAACACCAGUUUUUCUCGGAAUAUUCAAACAUUUACCACAGAAGGAAAUCAUCAUGCAGAAAGUGAACUUCCUCUGUAAGCCAUCUGAUCUGAUCCAGUUUCACUGAGACUGUUGAUAUUACAAAUCUCAUAACAAGUCAAAACUACAAUACAAAUCCUCUUUGCUCUAGGGAUGAAACUUGCAUAAACAGUAUUACAGAUGUCACAUGAAUUUGAAAAUGUCCCUAGAGGAAACUAAGACCCAGUUUCCAGAAUUUGUCUUAAUUUUUUUUUUUCCCCUCUGUACUGUUCAGGGUAUCAUUUAAAUUUACCUACCAUAAUGAAAACAUUCAAAACUACAUCUUUUCCAUGACAGAAAAACACAGUUCUAGCAUAUCAACAGUGGAAUAGACCUAACAGGGACUUUGUUCAGAGGUAACUGUUUACAUAACAAUCUUGGUUACUUAAAAGAUUUAGGAAUCUGCUAAAGGAUGACAGCUGCAAAUACUGAAGAAGGUCCUGAAGCAGGGAUUUUUAUCGAUCUGCAAUACAAAGGCAUAAACUAAUGAAAGCACUCUGCCAACUGGCCUUGAAGUCAUUACACUAAUAAACACAACAAUGAUAAUUUGUUUCUUCCAUUCAAUGUAUCUGUACUACUUUAUGUUUCCAAGUGUUAUAUUGUAUAAUUAUCAAGAUGUUUAAAGUUUUAUUGCUAGAACAUAAACUCCUGAAGUUAGCUGACAUUUAUUCUCAUUUUAUGGACACCAGUUCCUGUUUUCCCUGAUUCUUUUUAUGAUCUGACCAGCUAUAGGAAAUAUAUAUAUAUUUUUUGACUCUUCUUCAAUCCAUGUUUUUUUUUGUUUGUCAUUCCUACUCUGUCUCACUUUUCCAUGAAUCAUUGCAGUGAAAUUAUACAACUGGCUAACCUACUUGUCAUAAUGCUACAACUUUUCUAAUGCAAACUAGGAGCUAAAACAGUGACAAAGCAAUGGAAAGAGAAAAUGAGUCUUAGACAAAUUAAGAGAUUAAAAUUCAUGCUAAGUUUUGUGUAUUUUGAUGAUUACAUAACUUUAUUUGCAAGUAACACUUAAAAAUACCAAAAGCCUAUCAAUGAUUCAUGGAGACAGAGCAGUAAAAGGACUAAUGCCACUUAUUUCGACAAGAGCAAAAGAAAAGAGUGGGCCAACAGUUAUAGAGAGGCUUGGCUUUAACGCAUGUCCAUUCCAAACUGCCUUUUUUUAACCUAGAAACUCAACUCCUUGUCUUUUGUAUGUAGAAUGUGUACUUGCUUCUCAAAAUAAUGAUAAUAAUGAUAAUAAUGAUAAUUCAGACUUGAAAUCUAUUGGUAAUAUCUGCUCUUCACAGCCAAUGUUGCUUUCCAGAGAGAAGCGGAUGGGAAAGAGCACCAGGGUCAGGAAUACCUGAUGCAAGUGGUUCAGCUAAUAUGUCAACAUCUAUAGCCUAUCUACUUCUUGCUGAACCCAGGACUGCUCUUUGGUAAAAAUGUAGGAGAGGAGUUUCAGCAGGGAAUACCUGCAUGUGUCUUAUACACCUUCUUAUUUUCAGGAUGAUAUGGUGUACCAGUCAGCACUACUCCAGGCUACAUUCAUGUCUCACUGCUUCCCAGGUACACAGAAUGCAAGCACGUCAUCUUUUCCAGGAAAACAUAAUUCAGAGAAGAAUGUCAUAGCCUUCAAAAUUACCAAGUACUACGAUACCAUGGUGAUGGGAAAAAACAGACACCGAAAAAGACAGAUUCUGUUCUUUUUAACUGAAAUGCAAAUUCCUUGUUUCACACAGGAAAUUUUAGUUAGAAUGACCACACAGACAAAAUCUUCCCAAAGGAAAAACUGUGCAUGCUGAAGGUAGAAAGCAAAGGAAAGAAUGUUUCCAAGAAGCCAUGAAGACGGUGACAUGAAAGAUAUAGGAGGAACGAAUUCAGAACAACACAAGAAAACACAGAUGAUGGUAUGACAACACAUGCGCAGAAGGCAAAUUUUACAUAGUAUUUACAAGGGUCCACUGGAACCAACUGUCAUUGAAAAGGUAUAGAAAAAGAAAGCAGACCAAAGCCUGCAUCAAGGAAGGGGCAGGAAAAGGUAUACUGCAAUGCACAUCCCUGUAGGCAUGGCUAGCCUUUGAAAAGUACAGCAUGAUCUCCCCUGCGUCACUGUGGCCCACUAGCUGGUAUCCAAGGGGAGGAAGGGGAAGAAAACAACCCACCAACCACCUGUCCCCUUUGAAGCAUCUGGUGCCAAUAUUUGUAAGAGAGAGCCUUAAUUUUAAACCCCCAAACAUACAGACAGAUUGUCUUUUUACUCUCACCCACCCUUAGAAAACUGCCUCUGUCAUUGUUCGGAUCUUUGGGAGCUAACUAACAGCCACUCAGGUCAGAAUCAAUAUGUAUUUUUCCUUUUCUUAGCCCUGGAGGGGGUACAUACAAUACUACACCAUUAGCACACACACCAGUGUGUGCCAACUAUCUUGGUUGAGCCACGCAAAGCUUAGCCUCCUCACACAAUGGUUAGUUAGUGCAUUAUAUACAAGAGCGAGAGGUAAAAAGUUACAGUUGAGUAAACACAACACCUUUACCUCAUUAAGCACUAAAUGCAAGAGCAUACUCCAUAACCUCAAAACUGUAAUCAUAUAUUUCUAUAACCAGCAGAGCACAGCAAUCAGCUCCAAUCCAUGCAAUGCAGUUGUAUGGUGAUAUAUUUGCAUUGAAUGUCAUGUUCCAAAUUGGAACUGGCAAGCAUCUUAGCCUCACACAACAAUGCCAUAUGGAGUUACAUCUGAUAUUGCUUGAGCAGAACUCCCUUCCUAUCCAGAAUACAUCAAACGGUGCCACAGAUACGCUAUGGCAUUUAAAUAGUAAUAAUGCGGAUGUGAGGGCUAAAUUAAAAAUGUGUUGCAUAUUAGAAUCAACUUGUGCACUAAGAUUAAAAAAAAAAAAAAAAAAAAAAAAGGAUUCACUGGCUUUUGGCAGCAGAACUUACAGAUACGUAAAAAAAAAUUUACGUAAUUACCUAUAAGUCAACUUUCAUAGUGGAACAAUUAUAGGACUAAAGGCCCUUCAGAGUUAUUAGCACAGCGAGAAAAGGUCAACCAGCAACAAAGAUUUUGUCGCAAGCAGAUAAAAGAGGAGCUGUGCACCAGAAGUUGCACAUCAAGUAAAACUGACAGCAGGGCUGUGCUUUCUGUCAGAAAUGGCAGCUCCAUUUCAAACAUUGUUUUAUACUGUACUGAUGUAAAUUUUGUGCUUGUGCAGGUCAGGUUGAUGUUUUCCACUUGCACGAAGACCAGCCAAGAUGCAUGUGCUCCCUCACCAAUGGGCUUCAACUCCAAUCAGCUAGGGUCACCCACAGGGAAAGAAAAGUGUCUCAGAUCUCUGAUUUUACUAUUUCUACGGAAUUAGUAGUUUAUACAGUUAUAGCGUCCUGUGACUUUGAUCAAAAUUCAACCAUUUUAUCUCAAGAAAAUUAAGAUUAUCAGUGAUAACCUAUUGCAAUAGCUUUUCUUUUUUCUAGCACCAGACCCCUUGCCCAACACAUGCCAUAAACUAAGGUUUGAUGAGACAUCAGACAGUACCGUUCAUUGCAGCUCACAGCAGAAUUUCAGAGAUGUUGUGCCACUGGAGUCCUGUUAGCAAUUGACAAGGUUGCUGUUAUCUCCUGGGAAGUCUGUUUUCAGUGGAGCUCAGGUCUAGAAACCUGGACAACAGAACCAAAAGGCACACAGUCCUCCCGUAAAAAUGAUACCAUUACUUUCAUGAAGAAACUCGUUAAAAAAAAAAAAAAAAAGGUUUUCUCCCAGAAUCAUUUAACUAUUGUUUUUUCAAAACCUUUUUUAUUUCACAUGUUUUAGUUUUGGUACGUGGCACAAUAAAUAUUUCAAGAAACCUACAGUGACUAAGCAUUUGAUGGGUCAAAUACCAGAGGUUUUUCUUCAGUUCACACAGAUUCACUAAUGACUCCCCUGGGAAUGCAGGUUGAUUGAAGACAACAGGAUUCCUAAAAUAGUUUACUUUUUCCUGGAGCACACUGCUAACUUAUAUUUGCAACCUGCUUUCUGAAGGUCAGCACACUUCCAAGAUGUCCUCUUCCACCAGUACAGAAACAGGUCUUACUCAGCCCUCAACACAAUGUGACCACUUGCCUUAUUCUCUACCUACUCUACAGUACCACUGGCCUUCCAGAAGAACAAGCCAAACCUGAUUCCACAACAUGUUUACAGAGAUCCCAAGUUAAUGUAUUUACAAGACAGCUUUCCAAAGCUCCAAAUGAAAAAAAAAAAAAAAAAGAAAGAAAGAAAAAAAAGUUACUCUUACUCUUCAAGUUAUUUUGGUUAUUUUGUAACUGUUAUUAAUAUUAUAGCUUCAGCUAUUCAAACCAUUCAGAGCAUCUAGAAAACAGGAAUAUUAUAUUUUACAUAGCACAGCAUGCCCAUACCUGCCAAGUGCUGAGUUCCUUCAGUGGAGCACAGAAUUGACUGCUCACAGGGACCAAAUGACCAAGCCAACCCACCCAAGGCAGGGAUGCAGCAAAAUGACCAAACUACAACAGCCUGUUACUUUUUCACUGACUUUAGCCACACCAUCAAAGCUCCCAAGUAUUUGGAUAGCUUCUGAGCAGAAGCCCAGGGACAGCAGUCAAUCUAGAUAAGACGGGUUUUCAUCAUGCUGCUCAUUAACGCAGAGAUCAAUGUAGACACCCCUUGAGGCAAGUCCACACAAAGAUAAGCCUUAAAUGUCAGAAAUGCAGAACUCACCCUGCUCCUUUCCCAUAAGCUCUGUCGCAACAGUUGGUUUCUGACAGCAACGUCCUGUUGCCCGUCAUCAGGCUUGCGUUCUUCAGGGCAGCCAAGCCACCCAACUAUGCACAGUACUGUAUGGGGAGUACCUGAGGUGGAGGAGCCUCAGCUGCAGAGUUUAUUCUUUCGUGCUGGUCAGACUUCCAUUUUGAAGAUACCGUGCCAUUUGGAUACCUCUAAUUUUUUUUUUAUUUUAUUUUACUUGGGGACUCAAGAAACAAGUAGAAGAUGGCAGUUCUCUCAACUGGCUUGUUGACAACUUCCUUUUAAAAGCUUUAAUCAUAUGCACCCAGACAACAGAAUAACAGUGCGAUAUUUAAAAAGGACCAUCUAAGGGUGUUCUUUUCUCUCUGAAUAGCAGCAGAAAUACUUUCUCUGUAUGAGGAUAGCUCAUUAGGCACUUUGGGUGUGUUGAAGAUUUAAAAAGCUUUAGAACAUUAUUUGUGUUCUUGUGAACUUUCACAAGAAAUAUUUCACAAAAGAAAUUAUUCUAGGAACAGAUAACUUCCUGCGAAGCAAAAUAAUGGAACAAAAGAAUCUCCUGUUUCCAUGGGAAUGUGAUCCAGGCAUUAAAACAGAAGUGUGCCAAGCUCAAGAUGCCAGUGUGUGAAGCUUGUCAAGUGAUCAUUUUCACAUAUUUAGGAACUAACUGUCUCAUAAAAUAUGCAUUAAAUACAACUUGUCUGUCCAUUAAAUCCUUUUGA